ensembl:lncRNA
CUCCCCUCUUUCCUGGGGUCUGUGCAUCAGCUGAGAGCAGAGGAAAGGUGCCCAUUAAAUGAAAAUGCAUUUAACAUGCAGGAGGCGGCGGUUACCUGUCCGUCAGGUUUGCAGCAUUAAAGCCAAGAUGAAGUGAAGCUUUGAAUGGCACGCCAAGAAAAUAACAAACACCAAGGAUUGUAAGUUUUUUCACAGGCAAAACUAUAAAUCCAGAUGGCGUGGUGGAUCAGCCCGAGCCGAUGAAAAUAACAGUGGAGGGCUGCAAAGCCUGAAAAAAAUAUAUAUUUAUGAAGGUGGUGAUAGAAUAAGAAUUUUCACACCUACAGUACCUACCACACAUGGCUUUCACACACUGGGUAGAGAAGGCCCAGAUGAACACAAAUGUAAAUGUACCAUUUUAGUAUAUGUUAUAUUAGGUAAUGUUAUUGUCUGAUGCUCUCCACUGUAAUAAUUCUCCCUGUUUCAUAAUAAACAGUCUACAAGGUAUCCAAACUGCAGU